CACAGAACCUUGCUUCUCUUCUGCUACAACCAAUGGCACUGUCUCACAAUGGUAUAAGUUCUGUUUAAUGUAAUGCCAAAAAGAAACUAUUGAUCCCAAAUACUAGACUUCUGCUGGAUUUGGCUUGGAGACCCACAAUGAUGCACAAGCUUCUUGCAAAAGAAAGCAAUCAAAAAUGCCCAUAUCUCCUCUACAGUAAGCUCAUGCUAACUACACUCCAAUGGAAAUGGGCUACAUGGACUGAUGGGAAGAAUAAGUGAAGGGAUCUGUGACCAGAAUAAGGUGACUGUAGCUCAGUGUAAGGACAAAAUUUGCUCCUUUUAGAUAAAUUAAAUGUUGAACAUCA
rnacentral:lncRNA from 1 species